rnacentral:rRNA from 1 species
GUAAGGAAUAUUGGUCAAUGGACGCAAGUCUGAACCAGCCAUGCCGCGUGCAGGAAGACGGCCCUAUGGGUUGUAAACUGCUUUUGUCGGGGAAGAAACCCAUCUACGUGUAGAUGGCUGACGGUACUCGAAGAAUAAGGAUCGGCUAACUCCGUGCCAGCAGCCGCGGUAAUACGGAGGAUCCAAGCGUUAUCCGGAUUUAUUGGGUUUAAAGGGUGCGUAGGCGGCGUUGUAAGUCAGUGGUGAAAGUUUUCAGCUUAACUGGAAAAUUGCCAUUGAUACUGCAGUGCUUGAGUAUAGAUGAGGUGGGCGGAAUGUGUCAUGUAGCGGUGAAAUGCAUAGAUAUGACACAGAACACCGAUUGCGAAGGCAGCUCACUAAACUAUAACUGACGCUGAGGCACGAAAGCGUGGGGAUCAAACAGGAUUAGAUACCC